rnacentral:rRNA from 1 species
UACGUAGGGGGCAAGCGUUGCCCGGAAUCAUUGGGCGUAAAGCGCGUGUAGGCGGCCCGGUAAGUCCGCUGUGAAAGUCGAGGGCUCAACCCUCGAAUGCCGGUGGAUACUGUCGGGCUAGAGUGCGGGAGAGGCGAGUGGAAUUCCUGGUGUAGCGGUGAAAUGCGCGGAUAUCAGGAGGAACACCAAUUGCGAAGGCAGCUCGCUGGAACGUAACUGACGCUGAGACGCGAAAGCGUGGGUAGCAAACAGG